GAUGAAGAAAGUAGUGAAAUGCGAUACGUAAUGUGAAUUGCAAAUUCAGUGAAUCAUCGAGUCUUUGAACGCACAUUGCGCCCCCUGGUAUUCCGGGGGGCAUGCCUGUCCGAGCGUCAUUGCUGCCCUCAAGCACGGCUUGUGUGUUGGGCCCCGUCCUCCGAUCCCGGGGGACGGGCCCGAAAGGCAGCGGCGGCACCGCGUCCGGUCCUCGAGCGUAUGGGGCUUUGUCACCCGCUCUGUAGGCCCGGCCGGCGCUUGCCGAUCAACCCAAAUUUUUAUCCAGGUUGACCUCGGAUCAGGUAGGGAUACCCGCUGAACUUAAGCAUAUCAAUAAGCGGAGGA
rnacentral:misc_RNA from 1 species